rnacentral:misc_RNA from 1 species
CAGAAUUCCGUGAAUCAUCGAAUUUUUGAACGCAUAUUGCGCCCCAUCUCUCGGGAUUGGGCAUGUCUGCCUCAGCGUCGAUUUAAAUGGUUUGUGCCGUAAAUGACUAUUGCUUUACAGCAUUAGUUAAAGCAAUGGAAUUUUCAUGCAUGCAAGCAUGACAGAUUUGCAGUAUUCUACCUUACUGUUCAUCGUAGGAAAGCUUUUAUAGCUAACACACUAUGGACAUGAGGGGUUAAUAGAAUAGCUGUAACCAUUUCGACCUGAGUUCAGG